GACGAACGCUGGCGGCGUGCUUAACACAUGCAAGUCGAACGGGGAUAACGGAGAGGAGAGCUUCGGCAGGAAUCGCUGUUAUUCGAGUGGCGGACGGGUGAGUAACGCGUGAGCAACCUGUCCCAGACAGGGGGAUAACACUUGGAAACAGGUGCUAAUACCGCAUAAGAUCACGGUGUCACAUGGCACAGGGGUAAAAGGUGCAAACCGGUUUGGGGUGGGCUCGCGUCCGAUUAGCCAGUUGGCGGGGUAACGGCCCACCAAAGCGACGAUCGGUAGCCGAUCUGAGAGGAUGACCGGCCACAUUGGAACUGAGAGGCGGUCCAA
rnacentral:rRNA from 1 species